rnacentral:rRNA from 1 species
UACGGAGGGGGCUAGCGUUGUUCGGAAUUACUGGGCGUAAAGCGCACGUAGGCGGAUUGGAAAGUCAGAGGUGAAAUCCCAGGGCUCAACCUUGGAACUGCCUUUGAAACUCCCAGUCUUGAGUUCGAGAGAGGUGAGUGGAAUUCCGAGUGUAGAGGUGAAAUUCGUAGAUAUUCGGAGGAACACCGGUGGCGAAGGCGGCUCACUGGCUCAUUACUGACGCUCAGGCGCGUAGCGUGGGGAUCAAACAGG